CACUAGUUUCAGUCAUGCUUGUGAACUGAAUGAUGAGAAAAUAGUUAGUUAAAGUAAAUAAGUCAAUGUAUAUUAAUUAUAGUUAUUAUGUAGGAAAAUGUAGCAACAUACAAAACUGAGAAACAUACCUUAACCCACUAAGGCAUGAUCAUCUUUUCUUCAAAUGCAGUUAGCCAAAUCUUACCCUUAUUUUCUAACCAUCUUAAUAUGCGAGGUAUUAAGUCAGAACAACUCAUAGAAAGCUCAGUGCUGACGGUCGAGCAAUACUCAUAAAGCCACACUUUAAAGGCUAAUGAGCAUCCCCGUAUGAGAUAAGAAUGUACACGAGGAUUUAGACGAUGUUGGACAGAUUCAAUAACCUGAUUGAAUGACUUAAUACCCGUGGGUAUGACUAAAAAUUACCAGACUCUACCAAAUAGAACCUAAACUUGUCUAUGAAAGACACAUGGUC
rnacentral:lncRNA from 1 species